rnacentral:tRNA from 1 species
GCCUGGGUGGCCGAGCGGUUCCAGGCGCUACAGCCUGGAACGCUGCGGUCGCAGGUUCGAAUCCUGCCUCGGGCA